AGAGUUUGAUCCUGGCUCAGAAUCAACGCUGGCGGCGCGCCUAACACAUGCAAGUCGAACGAGAAAGUGGAGCAAUCCAUGAGUACAGUGGCGUACGGGUGAGUAACACGUGGGUGAUCUACCUUUUAGUGAGGAAUAACCGAGGGAAACUUUGGCUAAUACCGCAUAAGCCCGAGAGGGGAAAAGCAGAAAUGCGCUGAAAGAGGAGCCCGCGGCCGAUUAGCUAGUUGGUAGGGUAAGAGCCUACCAAGGCAGAGAUCGGUAGCCGGCCUGAGAGGGCACACGGCCACACUGGCACUGAAACACGGGCCAGACUCCUACGGGGGGCAGCAGUGGGGAAUCUUGCACAAUGGGGGAAACCCUGAUGCAGCGACGCCGCGUGAGCGAUGAAGCCCUUCGGGGUGUAAAGCUCUUUCGUCAGGGAAGAUAGUGACGGUACCUGGAGAAGCAGCUGCGGCUAACUACGUGCCAGCAGCCGCGGUAAUACGUAGGCAGCAAGCGUUGUUCGGAGUUACUGGGCGUAAAGGGUGUGUAGGCGGUUCUUUAAGUUUGCUGUGAAAUCUCCCGGCUUAACCGGGAGGGUGCGGUGAAUACUGAGGGACUAGAGUACGGGAGAGGAAAGUGGAAUUCCUGGUGUAGCGGUGAAAUGCGUAGAUAUCAGGAGGAACNNCCGGUGGUGUAGACGGCUUUCUGGACCGUAACUGACGCUGAGACACGAAAGCGUGGGUAGCAAACAGGAUUAGAUACCCUAGUAGUCC
rnacentral:rRNA from 1 species